rnacentral:rRNA from 1 species
UACAGAGGGGGCAAGCGUUGUUCGGAAUUACUGGGCGUAAAGGGCGCGUAGGCGGCCCGCUAAGUCGAACGUGAAAUCCCCGAGCUCAACUCGGGAACUGCGUCCGAUACUGGCGGGCUUGAAUCCGGGAGAGGGAUGCGGAAUUCCAGGUGUAGCGGUGAAAUUCGUAGAUAUUGGGAAGAACACCGGUGGCGAAGGCGGCUAUCUGGACCGACAUUGACGCUGAUGCGCGAAAGCGUGGGGAGCAAACAGG